rnacentral:rRNA from 1 species
GCUGUGAAGAUGCAGUGUACCCGCGGCAAGACGGAAAGACCCCGUGAACCUUUACUAUAGCUUGACACUGAACAUUGAGCCUUGAUGUGUAGGAUAGGUGGGAGGCUUUGAAGUGUGGACGCCAGUCUGCAUGGAGCCGACCUUGAAAUACCACCCUUUAAUGUUUGAUGUUCUAACGUUGGCCCGUUAUCCGGGUUGCGGACAGUGUCUGGUGGGUAGUUUGACUGGGGCGGUCUCCUCCUAAAGAGUAACGGAGGAGCACGAAGGUUGGCUAAUCCUGGUCGGACAUCAGGAGGUUAGUGCAAUGGCAUAAGCCAGCUUGACUGCGAGCGUGACGGCGCGAGCAGGUGCGAAAGCAGGUCAUAGUGAUCCGGUGGUUCUGAAUGGAAGGGCCAUCGCUCAACGGAUAAAAGGUACUCCGGGGAUAACAGGCUGAUACCGCCCAAGAGUUCAUAUCGACGGCGGUGUUUGGCACCUCGAUGUCGGCUCAUCACAUCCUGGGGCUGAAGUAGGUCCCAAGGGUAUGGCUGUUCGCCAUUUAAAGUGGUACGCGAGCUGGGUUUAGAACGUCGUGAGACAGUUCGGUCCCUAUCUGCCGUGGGCGCUGGAGAACUGAGGGGGGCUGCUCCUAGUACGAGAGGACCGGAGUGGACGCAUCACUGGUGUUCGGGUUGUCAUGCCAAUGGCACUGCCCGGUAGCUAAAUGCGGAAGAGAUAAGUGCUGAAAGCAUCUAAGCACGAAACUUGCCCCGAGAUGAGUUCUCCCUGACUCCCUGAGAGUCCUGAAGGAACGUUGAAGACGACGACGUUGAUAGGCCGGGUGUGUAAGCGCAGCGAUGCGUUGAGCUAACCGGUACUAAUGAACCGUGAGG